rnacentral:rRNA from 1 species
CCGCGGUAACACGUAGGGAGCAAGCGUUGUCCGGAAUUAUUGGGCGUAAAGAGCUCGUAGGCGGUUUAGUAAGUCAGGUGUGAAAACUCGAGGCUCAACCUCGAGAGGCCACCUGAUACUGCUGUGACUGGAGUCCGGUAGAGGAGUGUGGAAUUCCUGGUGUAGCGGUGAAAUGCGCAGAUAUCAGGAGGAACACCAACAGCGAAGGCAGCACUCUGGGCCGGUACUGACGCUGAGGAGCGAAAGCGUGGGGAGCGAACAGG